GUAGUUCAAGGUGAAAUUGAUUGUGAGUCUAGCCAAGUGUGAGAACCAGUUUUCCCGAGUUUCCUCUCAUACGUUACGUUGAAACUUGGUAGAUAGGUCGAUAGUUGGUGGCCUGUAAUUCGACACGUAACAUUCGCUACCACCACCGGAAACUUGACAAAACAUAAAUGACUUUGAACUUUGAGCGAACCGACCGGAACUGUCACCAAGAGUCCCAGCAUAGCUCAUAGUACCAGCUCGUCUGGCAUUUUAUCGAA